rnacentral:rRNA from 1 species
CCCUUAGAUGUCCGGGGCCGCACGCGCGCUACACUGAAGGAAUCAGCGUGGCUUUCUCCCUGACCCGAAAGGGUUGGGAAACCCGUUGAAUCUCCUUCGUGAUAGGGAUUGGGGCUUGAAAUUGUUCCCCAUGAACGAGGAAUUCCCAGUAAGCGCGAGUCAUAAGCUCGCGUUGUUUACGUCCCUGCCCUUUGUACACACCGCCCGUCGCUACUACCGAUUGAACGGUUUAGUGAGGGCCUCGGAUUGGUCUCGGCCCGCUCUUUACCGGGCGGCGCCGUUGGUCGAGAAGACGCUCGAACUUGAUCGUUUAGAGGAAGUAAAAGUCGUAACA